AAAAAGGGAAUAUGAGAAAUGUCACCUCCUGGCUACCACAAUAAUGCAACUAGGAGUUCUGGUUCUCCGCUGACUACCCACAGGAGUCCUUAGAGGAACCACACAGGAAACCUGGGAAACCUAACACUCUGAUUCCAAGGCUCCAAGCUUGAUAUAGAAGACUAUCAUAUGAACCAGAAAGGGUAACUGAAACCAAAGAAAUGACUCCAGUAUCAAGCUAAAGACAUGCCUUAAAGGAUGAGGAGGAGCAGAAAUCUUACCAGCAAGGCAAGAAAGAAGCCGUACGUGAACAGCCUCUGCUUUAGGCCCAGAAGGAAAAGAAGCUUACAGGAGACAAUCAGUCUUACACUCUUCCAUGGUCACAAACAAGAGGUCCCUGGAUCUACAGUAUCUAGGCCCACAUGCAAUAUGACUUUGCAACUCAUCCCAUCAGAGGAUGGAAACUAUUUCUUCACCCCCUUGAACCUGGGCUGGCUUUGUAAUUUGUUUUGGCCAAUAGAAUGUGGUGGAAGUGAUGGUGUUACCAGAAAGAGUUCCCAAUCCAGACUCGUGCGAGAAAGAAUUUGAGAAAUGAAAGAACCAGAGCAUUAUAGCAGAACGAAUCCUGGAAUGGGAAUGGAAUGCCUGGAUUUGUGGCACAGUUGGGAAGCGUCCUGGCCAUGCCAUGUUAAAGCUGUCUCCAAGGCAGUGAUUCUUACCCUUGGCUACACAUUGGAGUCAUUUGGGAAGCUAGAAAAAAAAAAUGCCCAGGACCUGGGCAAGACGGCUGAAUAAGAACAGCUCUGGUCUGCAGUUCCUAGCAAGAUCAACGCAGAAGGGAAGCUGGCAGCCUGGGCUCUUGGAGAUUGUAUCUGGUGCCGGAGAGGACUGGCUCCCACACUCAGUGAGGGAGGAAUUUUACUGACCCAGCAUCCAGAUGAACUUUGGUGAGGAGAGGAGACGGAGUUUCACUGUUGUUGCCCAGGCUGGAGUGCAGUGGCGUGAUUUCAGCUCACGGCUACCUCUGCCUCCCGGGUUCAAGCAAUUCUCCUGCCUCAGCCUCCCAAGUAGCUGGGAUUACAGAUCAUGAACUGGCAGCCAUGUGGAAAGAAGACUAGACUGCGAAUCACUUAGGAUCCCACCCUCGGUUUAGUCUAGAAUACUCUGCGAAUCAGCUUUUUGGCCCUAGGUUAUAGGAUCCAGUUUUUUAGGUGGUAGCAACAUGCUCAAGGAAGAUGCAGCCCCUUCCUCCAGCCUGAGAGAAUAAAGCAUCAUUGGCUUAUGCCAACCAUGGCAAUCCCAUUCCCCUUUUCUCAUGAUUGAUUUGGGAAUGGGCAAGUGACCCAGUUCUAACCAAUGAGACGAAAGAAAAAGUCUAUUGGUCAGCUUAUCUCAGAAGAUUUUUGUUUCCUGCUAUAAAGAGAAACAGUAAGUUCCUUCCUGCCUGACUUAAAUGCAAUUGUGUGCAAACAUGUUACUUGGAGCUACAGCAACGAUUCUGUGACCAUGAGGCAAUAAGCCAAGGACAAAGGAUAGAAUAGUGAAAAGACAGAGUAUUGGAUUUUUUUUAUGAUAUCAUUGAACUGCUGGACCAAUGUGGAACCAUCUACUUUUAGUCUUUCAUGAUUUGUGAGAUGAUUAAACAUUUCUUUUUUUUAGCCAUUAUUUCUUUUCUGUUACUUGCAACUGAAGACAUCCUACAUAAUACAAACACUAUCCAACUUGGAUUGUAAUUUAUCUAUUUUCAGAUCUGUGUGUUCUGUCUUACUGAUUUUUGUAUUCUUAGCACUGAGUAUAAGGCUGCUACUUAGUAAGACUUCAAUAAAUGACUGUUUAAAAAGGUCUUAGAGGAUUUAAAAAAAAUUCUGAAGUUGCUGAAAUAUGAAGACCAGGAACCAAUUUCAGGUUCUAUAAAUUUCUCGCUUCCUUCA
ensembl:lncRNA VLDLR-AS1 VLDLR antisense RNA 1